CUAACUGCGUGCCAGAAGCGUCGGUAAGACGUGGGCCCCGAGCGUUAUCCGGUGUUACUGGGCGUAAAGAGUCGUGUAGGCGGUUCGAAAAGUUACCUUUUAAAUCCCAAUGCUCAACAUUGGAACUGGAGGUAAUACUCUCGAACUAGAGUUUUCUACAGGGUGAAUGGAACUGUGGGAGGAGUAGUGAAAUGCGUUGAUCCCCACGGGAACACCAGUGGCGAAGGCGGUUCACUGGUAGAAGACUGACGCUGAGACACGAAAGCUAGGGUAUCGAAGCAGAUUAGAGACCUGCGUAGUCCUAGCCGUAAACGCAUGCUUGCUAGCUGCAUUUCCGCCCCUUCGGGGGUUAGGUGUGGCGAAGGUAACCCGUUAAGCAAGCCGCCUGGGGAUUACGGUCGCAAGACUAAAACUCAAAGGAAUUGGCGGGGAGGCACACAACCAGUGGAACAUGUGGUUUAAUUCGAAACAAACCGAAGAACCUCACCUGGGUUUGACAUGUAGCUGCUCAUCCUAUGAAAGUAGGACUCCUUCGAGGGUGCUACACAGGUGCUGCAUGGCUGUCGUCAGUUCGUUCCGUGAGGAGUGCCCUUAAGUGGGACAACGAACGCAACCCCCAUCGUAUGUUAUAUCUGUCAUACGAAACUGCCUUGCCGUUGGCGAGGAGGAAGGAGGGGCAGACGUCAAGUCUGCAUGGUCCUUAUGCCCAGGGCUACACACAUGUUACAAUGAGAAGGAACAAUGAGCAUUGCGAACUCGCGAGGGUAAGCAAAUCUCAGAAAUCUUCUCUCAGUGGGGAUUGGAGUCUGCAAUUCGACUCCAUGAACGCGGAAUUGGUAGUAAUCGCGGGUCAGCUAUACCGCGGUGAUACGUUCUUGCCUCUUGCACACACCGCCCGUCAAGCCAACAAAGUCGGGG
rnacentral:rRNA from 1 species